rnacentral:rRNA from 1 species
AGAGUUUGAUCCUGGCUCAGGACGAACGCUGGCGGCGUGGAUUAGGCAUGCAAGUCGAGCGACGCGGAGGUUUCGACCUUCGACGGAGCGGCGAACGGGUGAGUAACACGUGAACAAUCUGUCCCUACAUUCCGGAUAAUUGGCCGAAAGGCCUUGUAAUACGGGGGAGGAUCUUUUAUGAGCAUUCAUGAGAGAGGGAAGGCGCAAGCCGUGCAGGGAGGAGUUCGCGGCCUAUCAGGUAGUUGGUGAGGUAACGGCUCACCAAGCCGACGACGGGUAGCUCUGAGAGGAUGGUCAGCCACAUUGGAACUGAGACACUGUCCAGACUCCUACGGGAGGCUGCAGUCGAGAAUCUUGGGCAAUGCACGAAAGUGUGACCCAGCGACGCCGCGUGGAGGAUGAAGGCCCUUGGGUCGUAAACUCCUUUUAUGAGGGAAGAACGGGCGUAAGCCCUUGACGGUACCUCAUGAAUAAGCCACGGCUAACUACGUGCCAGCAGCCGCGGUAAUACGUAGGUGGCAAGCGUUGUCCGGAUUUACUGGGCGUAAAGCGUAUGCAGGCGGAUCAUUAAGUAGGAAGUGAAAGGUUGGAGCUCAACUCCGACACUGCUCCCUAUACUGGUGGUCUUGAGUACCGGAGAGGAAGAGGGAACGACACGUGUAGCGGUGAAAUGCGUUGAGAUGUGUCGGAACACCAAUGGCGAAAGCACUCUUCUGGACGGAAACUGACGCUGAGAUACGAAAGCUAAGGUAGCGAACAGGAUUAGAUACCCUAGUAGUCC